GAAACGCGUGUUGAAACUGCGAGGAAGUCGCGCGGGUGCUUCAGCGCACACUUGAACGGCGCUGCUGCCGCUGCCUUUCCCCACCUGCCCUGCAGGCUUUGGGUGCCCGGUAAUUCCCCAAGACAGGCGAAUCCCCAGCACACGGCACCGCCGGGCCCACAGCGCGCCGGCGGAACCGCCGGAAAGCGGGGCCGGAAGGGGCCGGAAAGAGCCGGAAACGGACGGAAGGAGACGGAAAGAGACGGAAACGGACGGAAGGAGACGGAAAGAGACGGAAGGAGGAGCCGGAAGGAGCCGGAAGGAGCCGGAAGGAGCCGAAAGGGGCUGCCGGCUCUGCAGCGACAGCGGGGAAACGAAGCGGAGCGGGACACGGGACAGGCGGGUGUGUGUCACCGUGGGGACAGGGACAGGCGGGUGUGUGUCACCGUGGGGACACGGGACAGGCGGGUGUGUGUCACCGUGGGGACAGGGACAGGCGGGUGUGUGUCACCGUGGGGACACGGGACAGGCGGGUGUGUGUCACCGUGGGGACAGGGACAGGCGGGUGUGUGUCACCGUGGGGACACGGGACAGGCGGGUGUGUGUCACCGUGGGGACAGGGACAGGCGGGUGUGUGUCACCGUGGGGACACGGGACAGGCGGGUGUGUGUCACCGUGGGGACAGGGACAGGCGGGUGUGUGUCACCGUGGGGACACGGGACAGGCGGGUGUGUGUCACCGUGGGGACAGGGACAGGCGGGUGUGUGUCACCGUGGGGACACGGGACAGGCGGGUGUGUGUCACCGUGGGGACAGGGACAGGCGGGUGUGUGUCACCGUGGGGACACGGGACAGGCGGGUGUGUGUCACCGUGGGGACAGGGACAGGCGGGUGUGUGUCACCGUGGGGACACGGGACAGGCGGGUGUGUGUCACCGUGGGGACAGGGACAGGCGGGUGUGUGUCACCGUGGGGACACGGGACAGGCGGGUGUGUGUCACCGUGGGGACAGGGACAGGCGGGUGUGUGUCACCGUGGGGACACGGGACAGGCGGGUGUGUGUCACCGUGGGGACAGGGACAGGCGGGUGUGUGUCACCGUGGGGACACGGGACAGGCGGGUGUGUGUCACCGUGGGGACAGGGACAGGCGGGUGUGUGUCACCGUGGGGACACGGGACAGGCGGGUGUGUGUCACCGUGGGGACAGGGACAGGCGGGUGUGUGUCACCGUGGGGACACGGGACAGGCGGGUGUGUGUCACCGUGGGGACAGGGACAGGCGGGUGUGUGUCACCGUGGGGACACGGGACAGGCGGGUGUGUGUCACCGUGGGGACAGGGACAGGCGGGUGUGUGUCACCGUGGGGACACGGGACAGGCGGGUGUGUGUCACCGUGGGGACAGGAACAGGCGGGUGUGUGUCACCGUGGGGACACGGGACAGGCGGGUGUGUGUCACCGUGGGGACAGGGACAGGCGGGUGUGUGCCACCGUGGGGACAGGGACAAGCUGGUCUGUCCCACCGUGGGGACGGGGAUAGGCGGAUCUGUGUCACCGUGGGUGAGUGUCACCGUGGGGACGGGGCCAGGCGGGUCUCACCGUGGGGACGGGGACAGGUGAGUGUCACCGUGGGGACAGGGACAGGUGAGUGUCACCGUGGGGACGGGGCCAGGCGGGUCUCACCGUGGGGACGGGGACAGGUGAGUGUCACCGUGGGGACAGGGACAGGUGAGUGUCACCGUGGGGACGGGGCCAGGCGGGUCUCACCGUGGGGACGGGGACAGGUGAGUGUCACCGUGGGGACAGGGACAGGUGAGUGUCACCGUGGGGACGGGGCCAGGCGGGUCUCACCGUGGGGACGGGGACAGGUGAGUGUCACCGUGGGGACAGGGACAGGUGAGUGUCACCGUGGGGACGGGGCCAGGCGGGUCUCACCGUGGGGACGGGGACAGGUGAGUGUCACCGUGGGGACAGGGACAGGUGAGUGUCACCGUGGGGACGGGGCCAGGCGGGUCUCACCGUGGGGACGGGGACAGGUGAGUGUCACCGUGGGGACAGGGACAGGUGAGUGUCACCGUGGGGACGGGGCCAGGCGGGUCUCACCGUGGGGACGGGGACAGGUGAGUGUCACCGUGGGGACAGGGACAGGUGAGUGUCACCGUGGGGACGGGGCCAGGCGGGUCUCACCGUGGGGACGGGGACAGGUGAGUGUCACCGUGGGGACAGGGACAGGUGAGUGUCACCGUGGGGACGGGGACCGGCUGAGCCCCGCAGACGCUCCACUGGGUCCGGGUCCCGCCGGGAGCGGGCAGAUUCAGACGGUGUCAGGCUACCACUAA
ensembl:lncRNA